CAAGUAAUAAUUAGUUUUAUCAAUAUUUUAUACAUAGUUUAUAAUUCCAUUAAAAUUGCCAAACACCAUCUUUAACACAUUCAGCCAAACACAUGCAUAAGCUUUAAUUCUUGGAAACUGAAAAAAUUUGCGCCAUCUGCUGAAAUUAUGACCAACAGGUUUUUUGCCAAUUAAAGCUGUGUCACUCACAGAAGUGACCAGUGCUUCUUGCUAACCUCCCUGCACUGACAGCACAACUGUCAUCGAGUCACACCUCAAAGACUUCAUCCUGAUCCUCUGAAGCAAGGAACAAGCUGCUGCAGAUGCACGCCCAGGAGAUUUUAAAUUGAGGAAAAAGAAAAAAAAGGCGGAGCAUUGAACACGUAAUAGACCUGCUUUACAAUAGUACAACAGCGACAGGUCAAAGUGCUUGGACAAGACUCUGAACUCCAGAGCAAUGACUUCAUCAUCUGAAUAUGGCCAAAUCUCCAGUGGAAACUCACAACAGAACAGGAUUGGGGAAUUCAGGUCAGAAGAAAUGCUUAGCUGACAUACAGUUCACUAUUCCAUAUGGGAGCUGGCUGGGAAGUGAAAAGACACUCCUGAGAAGGAAUUGAGGUUUGGGAAAACAUUAUGCCUCAACUUAGGAUGAAAAUCUUAAACUUCAAGAAAUUCCACUGAAGUGAAAAAUUUGAAUAUUUUUUCUGAGAGCACCACAUGAUUCUUGCUGUGGCUCCAGUUCAGUGCUUACAAAAGGUAAAUCCAAAACAGCAUGGAGUUUUUUGUUUUCAGUGAUGGAUGUUUUGAAAUAAAAGCAGAUCUCAGAAGAAAAUUUUGAACUAG
rnacentral:lncRNA from 1 species